UGAGUUAAUAUUUUAUGUGUAACUUGAUUUUGAGCAUUUAACUAGAAUGUGCUUGUUAGUUUGUUCUCCAUCUAAGUAGUAACUGUCAACUUACAUUAUUGAUUGCUCUUUGGUUAUAUUAGUUUGCUGAUGAUUUUUGAGGAAAUGAUUUCUGUUUGUUUAGCAUGAUUCCUAAUGGCUCUAAUUCUUAUCUGUUAUCCUAACUGUGAGGUCUUGAGCCUAAACACUUGAAUUUCUUUCUUGACUAUGUGAGUUCCACGUCUCUCCUAUUCUCUAGAACUUGCUUGAAUUCUCUUGAUUGAUUGAUUGUGACAAAUAAUGCACCGAGGCACGUUUUUGUGAGCUUGAGCUUUUGUAGCCUACCCUUGAAUAUUAUUAUCCCUUGCUAGCCCCUUUGAGCCUUAUUGAAAGAAAAAUGUUUUGAUCUUACUUCUUUUUGAAAACCACACAAUUUUUACAAAACAAAGAAGAAGAAAAAAAGAUGAUUUUCUUGAAGUUGAUCACCUAGCUUUUGAUUUGAGCUCAAUACUCGUCAUUAAGUUUGAGGUUGCUCUUGGAAUUUGCAACCUAUUAAGUUUGGGGUGGGGUACUAGAGAACUAAAAGAAAAAUAUUUUGAAAAAGUUUGUGAAAAAAAAUAUGAAGAGAAUAGAAAUAUUUUGAAAAAGUUUGUAAAAAAAAAAAUGAAGAGAAUGUCCCUCAUGAAAAGAAAGGAAAUGGUGAAAGAAAUGAAAAAUAAAUAAAGAGAAUGCAAAAUGCAUAACACCAUGUUUGGAAAAAAAAAAUGAAUAAAAAANNNNNNNNNNNNNNNNNNNNNNNNNNNNNNNNGGGACUUCUUUGAGAAAAAAAAAAUGUGAGCAUGGAAUGAGUUCACACAUUGUGAAUUCAUUUGCAUGAGGAAAAAAAAUGUGAAAACUAAGUUCUCUAGUAUGAAUGUGAUGAUUUUUGGGAGAUCAAUUGAUUUGUCCACUUUUGUUUGAAAUAGGUGACCUUAUAAGUUUCAAGUUUUUCUACCUAGUUUCCCAAAAAUAUCCACCCUUCAAUAAACCUAAGCCACGCUAUAACCCGAAAAGUCCUCGAAAGGUGCAUAUUCAUUGUAUGUCGAUCGAUUUUUAGAGUCCUUGCAAGCCUAUGGUAGAAAGGUGUAGAUUGUGUUGAUUGAGUGUAUGUCCCUAAACACUUGAGAGAAUUUUGGUGAGAUUAUGUGAAAAGAGAAUUGAGCUUGAUGGAUGAAUGUUGGAUGAAUUGUUUUGAAUUUCCGAUUGGUUGUUAGUAGAUGAAAGUGACCUUAAGCAUGAUAAUUUUNNNNNNNNNNNNNNNNNNNNNNNNNNNNNUUUUGUUCUUAUUGAUUACGGAGAUAGAUUAACAUGAAUGUUUGGUUUGGUGUUUGAGGUUGAGUUGCACUCUUUUGAAAGCAUUGUUCCUUGAGGACAAGCAACAGAUUAAGUUUGAGGUUGUGAUGAAUCUUCAUCAGUCGCUAUUUUUAGAGUCUUUUUAAUUAAGUUUUUAAUAUAAUUUUAUUAGUUUAGUGUUUACUUUAAAGUCAUUUUAAAUAAAUUGCGGUUUUUGAUUUAUUGAGUCAAUUAGAC
rnacentral:lncRNA from 1 species